rnacentral:rRNA from 1 species
CUACGGGUGGCUCCAGUGGGGAAUAUUGCACAAUGGGCGCAAGCCUGAUGCAGCCAUGCCGCGUGUAUGAAGAAGGCCUUCGGGUUGUAAAGUACUUUCAGCGGGGAGGAAGGGAGUAAAGUUAAUACCUUUGCUCAUUGACGUUACCCGCAGAAGAAGCACCGGCUAACUCCGUGCCAGCAGCCGCGGUAAUACGGAGGGUGCAAGCGUUAAUCGGAAUUACUGGGCGUAAAGCGCACGCAGGCGGUUUGUUAAGUCAGAUGUGAAAUCCCCGGGCUCAACCUGGGAACGGCAUCUGAUACUGGCAAGCUUGAGUCUCGUAGAGGGGGGUAGAAUGCCAGGUGUAGCGGUGAAAUGCGUAGAGAUCUGGAGGAAUACCGGUGGCGAAGGCGGCCCCCUGGACGAAGGCUGACGCUCAGGUGCGAAAGCGUGGGGAGCAAACAGGAUUAGAUACCCCGGUAGUC